rnacentral:rRNA from 1 species
CAAUAGCGUAUAUUUAAGUUGCUGCAGUUAAAAAGCUCGUAGUUGGAGUUCGGGUGGGAAUGGCCGGUCCGCCGUUUCGGUGUGCACUUGCUACGCCCACCUUGCUGCCGGGGACGUGCUCUUGAGUUCACGCUCGGGACACGGAGUCGGCGAGGUUACUUUGAGUAAAUUAGAGUGUUCAAAGCAGGCCUACGCUCUGAAUACAUUAGCAUGGAAUAACACGAUAGGACUCUGGCCUAUCUUGUUGGUCUGUAGGACCGGAGUAAUGAUUAAGAGGGACAGUCGGGGGCAUUCGUAUUUCAUUGUCAGAGGUGAAAUUCUUGGAUUUAUGAAAGACGAACUACUGCGAAAGCAUUUGCCAAGGAUGUUUUCAUUAA